AACAUCACGGAACGGCGAGGUGCCCUUCCUGUGGGAAGCCCUUCCCUGCUC
rnacentral:ribozyme from 1 species